UAGAGUUUGAUCCUGGCUCAGGAUGAACGCUAGCGACAGGCUUAACACAUGCAAGUCGAGGGGCAGCGGGGGUGAUGGCUUGCCAUCACCUGCCGGCGACCGGCGCACGGGUGAGUAACACGUAUGCAACCUGCCCUCCACAGGGGGACAACCUUCCGAAAGGGAGGCUAAUCCCGCGUAAAUCUCGAUGGGGCAUCCCAUUGAGAGGAAAGCUUCGGCGGUGGAGGAUGGGCAUGCGGCGCAUUAGCUAGUCGGCGGGGUAACGGCCCACCGAGGCGACGAUGCGUAGGGGUUCUGAGAGGAAGGUCCCCCACACUGGUACUGAGACACGGACCAGACUCCUACGGGAGGCAGCAGUGAGGAAUAUUGGUCAAUGGGCGGGAGCCUGAACCAGCCAAGCCGCGUGAGGGAAUAAGGCCCUAUGGGUCGUAAACCUCUUUUGUCGGGGAACAAAAGCGGGGACGCGUCCCCGUCUGCGUGUACCCGAAGAAAAAGCAUCGGCUAACUCCGUGCCAGCAGCCGCGGUAAUACGGAGGAUGCGAGCGUUAUCCGGAUUUAUUGGGUUUAAAGGGUGCGUAGGCGGACUGUCAAGUCAGCGGUAAAAUACGGGGGCUCAACCUCCGCCCGCCGUUGAAACUGACGGUCUUGAGUGGGCGAGAAGUAUGCGGAAUGCGUGGUGUAGCGGUGAAAUGCAUAGAUAUCACGCAGAACUCCGAUUGCGAAGGCAGCAUACCGGCGCCCAACUGACGCUGAAGCACGAAAGCGUGGGUAUCGAACAGGAUUAGAUACCCUGGUAGUCCACGCAGUAAACGAUGAAUACUAGCUGUCCGGGGCGAAUGAGCCCUGGGUGGCACAGCGAAAGCGUUAAGUAUUCCACCUGGGGAGUACGCCGGCAACGGUGAAACUCAAAGGAAUUGACGGGGGCCCGCACAAGCGGAGGAACAUGUGGUUUAAUUCGAUGAUACGCGAGGAACCUUACCCGGGCUCAAACGCAGGAGGGAUGUUUUUGAAAGGAGGCAGCCAGCAAUGGUCUCCUGCGAGGUGCUGCAUGGUUGUCGUCAGCUCGUGCCGUGAGGUGUCGGCUUAAGUGCCAUAACGAGCGCAACCCCUACCUACAGUUGCCAUCGCGUGAUGGCGGGCACUCUGUGGGGACUGCCUGCGCAAGCAGUGAGGAAGGCGGGGAUGACGUCAAAUCAGCACGGCCCUUACGUCCGGGGCGACACACGUGUUACAAUGGCGUAAACAAAGGGAAGCAGGACGGCGACGUUGAGCAAAUCCCAGAAAUAACGUCCCAGUUCGGAUUGUAGUCUGCAACCCGACUACAUGAAGCUGGAAUCGCUAGUAAUCGCGAAUCAGAAUGUCGCGGUGAAUACGUUCCCGGGUCUUGUACACACCGCCCGUCACACCAUGGGAGUCGGAAAUGCCUGAAGUCAGUGACCCAACCGUAAGGAGGGAGCUGCCGAAGGUGGAGCCGGUAACUGGGGUGAAGUCGUAAUCAAGGUAACCGUA
rnacentral:rRNA from 1 species